rnacentral:piRNA from 1 species
UCUCUCUUCAGAUAUCGUUUC